rnacentral:rRNA from 1 species
AUGGUCGCCCGUCUCCUCCUCCUCCUCCUCACCCUCCUAUUCUCCACUCCCUCCCCCGCCGCCGCCUCGCCGCACAUCUCCGCCGUCAUCUCCCAGUCCGGCCUCGACUUCGCCAAGGACCUGCUCGUGCCCCGAGCCGCCGACACCCUCGCUCAUCUGAGCGUACCCGACAUCGAGCGGUCCGUGAGCAUCCCCAUCAUCGGCGCCGUCCGCACGGUCGCCUCCCGCAUCGUGCUUGGCGGCGUGGCAGUCGCCAACUCCACCGUCGCCGCCGGCGACACGGGGGUCGUGGUGGCCGCGUCCCUGUCCAGCGUCAACCUCACCAUGGAGUGGAGUUACUCGUACAGCUCCUGGCUCGUUGAGAUCUCUGACAGUGGGAAUGCUUCGAUUCAGGUUGAAGGAAUGGACGUUGGGGUUUCCAUGGGGCUGAAGAAUGAAAAUGGAUCACUAAAACUAUUUGUUAUGGAAUGUGGCUGUUAUAUGAAAGACUUGGACAUAACACUGAAUGGAGGAUCCUCUUGGUUUUAUCAAGGAUUCAUAGAUGCUUUUAGCAAUCAUAUCAGAUCAUCUGUGGAAAAUGCGAUUACGAACAAAAUAGUGGAGAGUGCAUCAAAGCUCGACCAUUUCCUAGGAGGCCUUCCAAAGGAAAUUAAUGUUGAUAGAGUCGCUGCUAUGAAUGUGACAUUUGUUAAUGAUCCACGCUUCAUUAGUUCCUCUGUUGAGUUUGAUAUAGAUGGACUAUUUAUUCCAUCUGAUAAAACUGCUCCUCAGAGUGAUAUAAAUUUCGGUGAUACCAAACUUGCACCAGCCCUUGGCAGCUCCUCAAACAUGCUGUGGAUUUCAUUGGACGAAGAUGUUUUCAACUCGGUUUCAGCUCUCUACUUCAAGGCUGGUUUACUACAACAUUUGGUGGACAAGGUUCCCGAUCAGUUUCUUUUGAACACUGCUAGCUGGAGGUUUUUGAUUCCAAGGUUGUACCGUAAAUAUCCAAACAAGGAUAUGCUGCUGAACAUUUCUGCUAUAUCACCUCCCUCUGUGAGGAUUAAUGUGGGUAGAAUUGACACCACAGUGGACUUAGAUGUCAUAGUAAUUGUAUUGGGUUCUGAUGAUAUAGUUCCAGUUGCAUGCAUAUCACUGUCAGUUGCUGUUUCUGGACGUGCAAGUGUUUCUGGGAAUAAUCUUGUGGGAGAGGUUGAGUUAAAUUAUUUCUCGUUCGACUUGAAGUGGAGUGACAUUGGCAAACUUCAUACUGGUAUAGUGCAGAGUGUGAUGCGCAUCGUCCUGAAAAAUUUGUUCGUGCCCUAUGUGAACUCGUAUCUUGGACAAGGUUUCCCGUUGCCCAUCAUCAAGGGCUUCGUCAUCAGAGAUGCUUAUAUCCUCACCUCAUACUCAAGCAUAAUCGUUAGCUCUGAUGUUUCCUUCAUCGAACCAAUGAAUAGAUCUGGAAUAAAGCAGGUUCUUGGAUCAGUCAGCGAAGAUCCGGCAGUCACCAUGCUAUUUCAUUGA